rnacentral:rRNA from 1 species
CAUCCCGAUGCUAUUCUAGAGAUAGAAAGUUACUUCGGUACAUCGGUGACAGGUGGUGCAUGGUUGUCGUCAGCUCGUGUCGUGAGAUGUUGGGUUAAGUCCCGCAACGAGCGCAACCCCUAUUGUUAGUUGCCAUCAUUCAGUUGGGCACUCUAGCGAGACUGCCGGUAAUAAACCGGAGGAAGGUGGGAUGACGUCAAAUCAUCAUGCCCCUUAUGACCUGGGCUACACACGUGCUACAAUGGUUGGUACAACGAGUUGCGAGUCGGUGACGGCGAGCUAAUCUCUUAAAGCCAAUCUCAGUUCGGAUUGUAGGCUGCAACUCGCCUACAUGAAGUCGGAAUCGCUAGUAAUCGCGGAUCAGCACGCCCGCGGUCCGAAUACGUUCCGGCCUU